GAGUUUGAUCCUGGCUCAGGAUGAACGCUGGCGGCGUGCCUAAUACAUGCAAGUCGAGCGAACGGACGAGAAGCUUGCUUCUCUGAUGUUAGCGGCGGACGGGUGAGUAACACGUGGAUAACCUACCUAUAAGACUGGGAUAACUUCGGGAAACCGGAGCUAAUACCGGAUAAUAUUUUGAACCGCAUGGUUCAAAAGUGAAAGACGGUCUUGCUGUCACUUAUAGAUGGAUCCGCGCUGCAUUAGCUAGUUGGUAAGGUAACGGCUUACCAAGGCAACGAUGCAUAGCCGACCUGAGAGGGUGAUCGGCCACACUGGAACUGAGACACGGUCCAGACUCCUACGGGAGGCAGCAGUAGGGAAUCUUCCGCAAUGGGCAAAGCCUGACGGAGCAACGCCGCGUGAGUGAUGAAGGUCUUCGGAUCGUAAAACUCU
rnacentral:rRNA from 1 species